rnacentral:rRNA from 1 species
UACGUAGGGUGCGAGCGUUAAUCGGAAUUACUGGGCGUAAAGCGUGCGCAGGCGGUUCGUUAAGUCAGAUGUGAAAGCCCCGGGCUCAACCUGGGAACUGCAUUUGAAACUGGCGGGCUUGAGUGUGGCAGAGGGGGGUGGAAUUCCGCGUGUAGCAGUGAAAUGCGUAGAUAUCGAGAAGAACACUUAGGGCGUAGGCAAGACUCUGGACAAAUGCUGACGCUCAUGCACGAAGGCUAGGGUAGCGAACGGG